rnacentral:rRNA from 1 species
UGGUAGUCUACGCUGUAAACGAUGUCGACUUGGAGGUUGUGCCCUUGAGGCGUGGCUUCCGGAGCUAACGCGUUAAGUCGACCGCCUGGGGAGUACGGCCGCAAGGUUAAAACUCAAAUGAAUUGACGGGGGCCCGCACAAGCGGUGGAGCAUGUGGUUUAAUUCGAUGCAACGCGAAGAACCUUACCUACUCUUGACAUCCACGGAAUUCGCCAGAGAUGGCUUAGUGCCUUCGGGAACCGUGAGACAGGUGCUGCAUGGCUGUCGUCAGCUCGUGUUGUGAAAUGUUGGGUUAAGUCCCGCAACGAGCGCAACCCUUAUCCUUUGUUGCCAGCACGUAAUGGUGGGAACUCAAAGGAGACUGCCGGUGAUAAACCGGAGGAAGGUGGGGAUGACGUCAAGUCAUCAUGGCCCUUACGAGUAGGGCUACACACGUGCUACAAUGGCAUAUACAAAGAGAAGCGAACUCGCGAGAGCAAGCGGACCUCAUAAAGUAUGUCGUAGUCCGGAUUGGAGUCUGCAACUCGACUCCAUGAAGUCGGAAUCGCUAGUAAUCGUAGAUCAGAAUGCUACGGUGAAUACGUUCCCGGGCCUUGUACACACCGCCCGUCACACCAUGGGAGUGGGUUGCAAAAGAAGUAGGUAGC